rnacentral:rRNA from 1 species
UUUCCGACCUCAGAUCAGGCGAGACUACCCGCUGAAUUUAAGCAUAUUAUAAGCGAGAGA